rnacentral:SRP_RNA from 10 species
UCUAUCGACCGCUGUCGCGAGCGUUGGCGUGUACCACCCUGAGGAUAUACCAUCAACCCGGGGGUUCGGCAGGGAGCAGCGGCAUCUUCGCCGAGCUGCCCUAGUGCCGGAGAACAUUGCCAG